GGGUUCUUCAUGAACGACCCAUCGGCGUUUAUUGUGUGUCUUGCCAUCUGUUGUAGCUUGUCAAAUGGAACAUUCCUAGGGGUUGCUCCAUUCUGCCGGCUGAUGUUGAUGGGAAGGGUGGACAGCCUCCUCCACUGACGACAAGUAAGCUUACUAAUUAGGCUAUCUUUACAGUAGGCCUACCCUAUCAGGGGAGAAUCAAGCAUUUUCACAUUAAUUGUGCGCAAAUUGUAAAAAUGACCACA